rnacentral:lncRNA from 1 species
UGUUAAGUGUUGUGCAUGGUUUAUUUUUUUGUUGCCGUUUAAUUUCAGAACUCGAAAUGACAUUGCCUUUUCUUAUAGAUGGAAAAGAAAUACCAUUUGGCCAUGAUGAGAGUACCACGACCAAUCCCAUAUACAAAAGAUGAAAUACUUAUUAUAUUGUGGAGUUUUUUUAAGAUCAAAUCAUUUGAAAAUAAUGGGCAUCCUUGUACUUUUGAUUUUUGCAAGAGUAUCAAUAUAUGUCUCCAAAAACAUCGGUACCAGGACAUAACCGGCUCUUUUCACCGAGCAUCCUCGCUUUUGCGAUCGCCUUGCCCUUGAACCCUUCGGGCUACAUGCGUCAUAUCUGCACCACCCCUUAUAGCGACCCAACACUCAUCAAUUGUAUCCUAUAAAUCCUCUUAUGUCCUUACCUUCUUUAUCAAAUAGAAUUGAGAGCCACACUUUAGAGCUUAAACAAUUGGUCAAAUCCACCGCUCAUCUAAACAAACAUAAAGUCGCUAUUCUUCAAAAUACACAACUGCAUGCGGUAAAAGGCGUAAAUUUACACAAUCUGAAGAGUAUGUGAAUGGCUUUUGGAUAUUGUGGUUGUGCUUUUACUUCAAAUUUUAAAAUUAUCAAUUUAGAAAUGGGACAAAAAAAACAUAAAUAUUCUCUUUUAGAUGAUAAAUUAUUGUAACAAUUGCUUACAAGCAAGAGUGCAAAUCAGUUGUCAUUUGAUUACAUUGUGAGUGCCAAAAGGCAAUUGGACAUCGUGAGGAUAAAAUGAUUAAUUUAACAGAAAAUGUUUGUUUGCUUAUGAUAAAUGCAUGAUUAGAGGGUUUAAACUUUUUUUUAUUGAUUUCUUAUAUGUUAACUGGUAAUCAUAUUUGAGACACUCACACACUAAAUAUGAAUUGUUAGGAUCUCUUCCAACUGAGAUUUAAAACUUGAUUCACCAAUAUUAUGAAAAAUUAUCUCUUCCGUUGAACUGAACCUCAGUCGAAGGAUGGUUUAACCUUUUCAUUUAACAUAAAAAUACCAAGAAGAGGUUACAUGCUUCCUCUUAUCCUCCAUAAAAUGAUCAAGGAAACAGAUAACAAAUGGAUGUGGCUUAUGUGUAAAUAAGAUUCAUUUGUGGACUUCCAAUGCUUUCUAUCAAACCUUAAUGUAGAUUUAUAAAAUGGAAAAUGUUAUCGAAUGCCCCGGGCACUCUUUAAGCACUUUAAAUGGUAAAUUUUUAUGUAAAAUUGUGUAUUCAAUGCAUUGAAAAUUGUCAUAAUUGCCUUUUUAAAAGAAUGAUUACUAAAUUUGGGAUCUUUAAAGAGUGUGCCUCGAGGGCACUCGAUAACAUUUUUGAUUUAAAUCGAGGAAAGAUCAAACCAAACAUCCACCUAUUGUGCAUCAGUUUAAUUAACAGUUUCUCCAAUUUUUCACUGGUUCCUCGUCCUUUCCAGACUCGACAGAGCAUUGAUUCACCUAAUUUUGGUUCAAUCCAUCCAACUCAGUAUAAAACAAAUCUCUAUAAGAUAUAUUGAGCUCUUGGUAGCUAAAACCAUGUCACCAGUUACAAACCACUAAAGAAUUCAUGAGCUUCACGAUAUCGUUCCAAAACUACAUUAAACAGAGGAUGGAUGGGUUCUAAGAGAUUGGAGUAAGGGCCCAUUACUACCUUAGGUAAUGGUGGAGAAUCUGGGCGCUUGGACCAACUAUACUGGCACAAUGAGAGACCACUUAAACAGUAACACGAGUGAUAGUGAUCCCUCCUUUUACCUGUUUCAUCACUUUCAUUGAAACAAAA